rnacentral:rRNA from 1 species
CAGCCGCCGCGGGAAUACGUAGGGUGCAAGCGUUAUCCGGAAUUAUUGGGCGUAAAGAGCUCGUAGGCGGUUUGUCGCGUCUGCUGUGAAAACUGGAGGCUCAACCUCCAGCCUGCAGUGGGUACGGGCAGACUAGAGUGCGGUAGGGGAGAUUGGAAUUCCUGGUGUAGCGGUGGAAUGCGCAGAUAUCAGGAGGAACACCGAUGGCGAAGGCAGAUCUCUGGGCCGUAACUGACGCUGAGGAGCGAAAGCGUGGGGAGCGAACAGGAUUAGAUACCCCGGUAGUCCCUGUCUCUUAUAC